GAUGAACGCUGGCGGCGUGCUUAAUACAUGCAAGUCGAGCGAAGCACCUUGGACAGAAUCCUUCGGGAGGAAGACCAUUGUGACUGAGUGGCGGACGGGUGAGUAACGCGUGGGUAACCUGCCUUGUACAGGGGGAUAACAGUUGGAAACGACUGCUAAUACCGCAUAAGCGCACAGUACCGCAUGGUACGGUGUGAAAAACUCCGGUGGUACAAGAUGGACCCGCGUCUGAUUAGCUGGUUGGUGAGGUAACGGCCCACCAAGGCGACGAUCAGUAGCCGACUUGAGAGAGUGAUCGGCCACAUUGGGACUGAGACACGGCCCAAACUCCUACGGGAGGCAGCAGUAGGGAAUAUUGCACAAUGGGGGAAACCCUGAUGCAGCGACGCCGCGUGAAGGAAGAAGUAUUUCGGUAUGUAAACUUCUAUCAGCAAGGAAGAAAAUGACGGUACUUGACUAAGAAGCCC
rnacentral:rRNA from 1 species